rnacentral:rRNA from 1 species
GACGAACGCUGGCGGCGUGCCUAAUACAUGCAAGUAGAACGCUGAAGGAGGAGCUUGCUCUUCUGGAUGAGUUGCGAACGGGUGAGUAACGCGUAGGUAACCUGCCUGGUAGCGGGGGAUAACUAUUGGAAACGAUAGCUAAUACCGCAUAAGAGUAGAUGUUGCAUGACAUCUGCUUAAAAGGUGCAAUUGCAUCACUACCAGAUGGACCUGCGUUGUAUUAGCUAGUUGGUGAGGUAACGGCUCACCAAGGCAACGAUACAUAGCCGACCUGAGAGGGUGAUCGGCCACACUGGGACUGAGACACGGCCCAGACUCCUACGGGAGGCAGCAGUAGGGAAUCUUCGGCAAUGGACGGAAGUCUGACCGAGCAACGCCGCGUGAGUGAAGAAGGUUUUCGGAUCGUAAAGCUCUGUUGUAAGAGAAGAACGAGUGUGAGAGUGGAAAGUUCACACUGUGACGGUAUCUUACCAGAAAGGGACGGCUAACUACGUGCCAGCAGCCGCGGUAAUACGUAGGUCCCGAGCGUUGUCCGGAUUUAUUGGGCGUAAAGCGAGCGCAGGCGGUUAGAUAAGUCUGAAGUUAAAGGCUGUGGCUUAACCAUAGUACGCUUUGGAAACUGUUUAACUUGAGUGCAGGAGGGGAGAGUGGAAUUCCAUGUGUAGCGGUGAAAUGCGUAGAUAUAUGGAGGAACACCGGUGGCGAAAGCGGCUCUCUGGCUUGUAACUGACGCUGAGGCUCGAAAGCGUGGGGAGCAAACAGG